rnacentral:lncRNA from 1 species
UUGGUGUUUAGAGUUCAAAAGCUCUUAAAAUGAGAGAACACAGGAUUCUUUCUCCUGCAGAAAGAACACCUUAAUGGGCACAUGCCACAUGUUUUUGGGCAAAAGAAACAACAAUAAUUACAGGGUUCUCCAAUCAGCCACGUGAUGUGUAAAAGUUGCAUCCGUUCGUUUGUACAUGAUGCUGUAGUCACAGGGGUGGGUGAGAAGAAAGUAGUGCAGUGGUGUUUGUGAAGUGAAAGAAGUAUUAGUCCCACAUAGGUGAAAUAAGAAGGAGCAAAUGGGAGAUAGAGUAUAAAAUGAAAGAGUAGCAACAAAAAUAAUCAUACCUUUCUCGGCCUUUUGGCUAAGAUCAAGUGUAGUAUCUGUUCUUAUCAGUUUAAUAUCUGAUAUGUGGGUCAUUGGCCCACACGAUAUUAAAUUACUUUUUUAAAGGGGAAGGGCCACUACAGUAGCUUGCUAUUGGGCCUUUCACGUGUCGCUCAUGCGUUGCACUAAAGCAUGGGCUUGGCGCACCCU